rnacentral:tRNA from 1 species
GCUCAGUUGGCAGAGCGUCAGUCUCAUAAUCUGAAGGUCGUGAGUUCGAGCCUCAC